rnacentral:rRNA from 1 species
AGAGCGAACGCUGGCGGCAGGCUUAACACAUGCAAGUCGAGCGGGCGUAGCAAUACGUCAGCGGCAGACGGGUGAGUAACGCGUGGGAACAUACCUUUUGGUUCGGAACAACACAGGGAAACUUGUGCUAAUACCGGAUAAGCCCUUACGGGGAAAGAUUUAUCGCCGAAAGAUUGGCCCGCGUCUGAUUAGCUAGUUGGUGAGGUAAUGGCUCACCAAGGCGACGAUCAGUAGCUGGUCUGAGAGGAUGAUCAGCCACAUUGGGACUGAGACACGGCCCAAACUCCUACGGGAGGCAGCAGUGGGAAUAUUGGACAAUGGGGGCAACCCUGAUCCAGCCAUGCCGCGUGAGUGAUGAAGGCCCUAGGGUUGUAAAGCUCUUUUGUGCGGGAAGAUAAUGACGGUACCGCAAGAAUAAGCCCGGCUAACUUCGCGCCAGCAGCCGC